rnacentral:rRNA from 1 species
AUUGAACGCUGGCGGCAGGCCUAACACAUGCAAGUCGUGCGGAUGAAGGGAGCUUGCUCCUGGAUUCAGCGGCGGACGGGUGAGUAAUGCCUAGGAAUCUGCCUGGUAGUGGGGGAUAACGUCCGGAAACGGGCGCUAAUACCGCAUACGUCCUGAGGGAGAAAGUGGGGGAUCUUCGGACCUCACGCUAUCAGAUGAGCCUAGGUCGGAUUAGCUAGUUGGUGGGGUAAAGGCCUACCAAGGCGACGAUCCGUAACUGGUCUGAGAGGAUGAUCAGUCACACUGGAACUGAGACACGGUCCAGACUCCUACGGGAGGCAGCAGUGGGGAAUAUUGGACAAAGGGCGAAAGCCUGAUCCAGCCAUGCCGCGUGUGUGAAGAAGGUCUUCGGAUUGUAAAGCACUUUAAGUUGGGAGGAAGGGCAGUAAGUUAAUACCUUGCUGUUUUGACGUUACCAACAGAAUAAGCACCGGCUAACUUCGUG